AGCGAACGCUGGCGGCAGGCUUAACACAUGCAAGUCGAGCGGGCAUCCUUGUGGUGUCAGCGGCAGACGGGUGAGUAAAGCGUGGGAACGUGCCCUUCGGUUCGGAAUAACUCAGGGAAACUUGAGCUAAUACCGGAUACGUGCGAGAGCAGAAAGGUUUAUCUGCCGAAGGAUCGGCCCGCGUCUGAUUAGCUAGUUGGUGAGGUUAUGGCUCACCAAGGCGACGAUCAGUAGCUGGUCUGAGAGGAUGAUCAGCCACACUGGGACUGAGACACGGCCCAGACUCCUACGGGAGGCAGCAGUGGGGAAUAUUGGACAAUGGGGGCAACCCUGAUCCAGCCAUGCCGCGUGAGUGAUGACGGCCUUAGGGUUGUAAAGCUCUUUUCUUCGGGACGAUAAUGACGGUACCGGAGGAAUAAGCCCCGGCUAACUUCGUG
rnacentral:rRNA from 1 species